UCUCUGGUGGUCCAAUGGUCAGGCUUCUUUGCUUUCACUGCCAAAGGCCCAGGUUCAACCCCUGGUCAGGGAA
rnacentral:tRNA from 1 species